GAUGCUAAGACGGCCUGUACCUAGCGCCCGAAGACA
rnacentral:tRNA from 1 species